rnacentral:rRNA from 1 species
UACGUAGGGACCGAGCGUUGUCCGGAAUCAUUGGGCGUAAAGAGCGUGUAGGCGGCUAUUUAAGUCCUGCGUGAAAUCCUGCGGCUCAACCGCAGACGGUCGUGGGAAACUGGAUGGCUAGAGUGCGGGAGAGGAGAGUGGAAUUCCUGGUGUAGCGGUGAAAUGCGCAGAUAUCAGGAAGAACACCCGUGGCGAAGGCGGCUUUCUGGACGGUGACUGACGCUGAGACGCGAAAGCGUGGGGGAGCAAACAGG